GACGAACGCUGGCGGCGUGCCUAAUACAUGCAAGUAGAACGCACAGUUUAUACCGUAGCUUGCUGCACCAUAGACUGUGAGUUGCGAACGGGUGAGUAACGCGUAGGUAACCUGCCUGGUAGCGGGGGAUAACUAUUGGAAACGAUAGCUAAUACCGCAUAAUAUUUAUUAUUGCAUGAUAAUUGAUUGAAAGAUGCUAUUGCAUCACUACCAGAUGGACCUGCGUUGUAUUAGCUAGUAGGUGAGGUAACGGCUCACCUAGGCGACGAUACAUAGCCGAACUGAGAGGGGGAGCGGCCACACUGGGACUGAGACACGGCCAAGAACCAGACGGGAGGCAGCAGUAGGGAAGCUUAGGCAAUGGAAGAAAGUCUGACCGAGAAACGCCGAGUGAGUGAGGAAGAUUUUCGGAUCGUAAAGCUCUGUCGUAAGAGAAGAACGGGUGUGAGAGUGGAAAGUUCACACUGUGACGGUAUCUUAUCAGAAAGGGACGGCUAACUACGUG
rnacentral:rRNA from 1 species